rnacentral:rRNA from 1 species
AAACAUGUUUNUUUGAAGUUGUAAAUAGUCUGGCCUGCUCACUGACAUAAAGUAAAAUGUUAAAGAGCCGCGGUAUAUUGACCGUGCAAAGGUAGCAUAAUCAUUAGUUUCUUAAUUGGAAGCUUGUAUGAAUGGUCGGACAAAGGAAAAGCUGUCUCUGUUGUAUAGGUUGAAAUUAACUUUUAAGUGAAAAGGCUUAAAUGUUUCAAGGGGACGAUAAGACCCUAUAAAGCUUAAUAUAUAAAUUAAAUUUAAUCAAAUUUAGUAGUUAAUAAAGAUUUAAUUUGAUUAUUAUAUUUUAUUGGGGCGAUAUAGGUAUAAGUUGUAUUAACUGUUUAAAUUAAAUACAAUAUAAUAAGUGGGUUAUAAAUAGUUGAUCCUUUUUAGAGAUUAAAAGACUAAGUUACUUUAGGGAUAACAGCGUUAUUUCUUUUGAGAGUUCAUAUCGAAAAAGGAGUUUGCGACCUCGAUGUUGAAUUAAAAUAUCUAUAUGGUGUAGCCGUUAUAUAAGAAGGUCUGUUCGACCUUUAAAUUUUUACAUGA